rnacentral:rRNA from 1 species
AACGAACGCUGGCGGCGUGCUUAACACAUGCAAGUCGAGUGCGCGCCUGUAGCAAUACAGGUGGCGCACGGCGCACGGGUGCGUAACACGUGGGCAAUCUGCCCUCUGAUGGGGAAUAACCCGCCGAAAGGCGGGCUAAUACCGCAUAAAAUUCCUUGGACUUAUGUUCGAGGACUCAAAGGCGUAAGUCGUCGGAGGAGGAGCCCGCGCACGAUUAGCUAGUUGGUAGGGUAAUGGCCUACCAAGGCUUUGAUCGUUAGCUGGUCUGAGAGGAUGGCCAGCCACACUGGAACUGAGACACGGUCCAGACUCCUACGGGAGGCAGCAGUGGGGAAUCUUGCACAAUGGGCGAAAGCCUGAUGCAGCGACGCCGCGUGGGGGAUGAAGCAUUUCGGUGUGUAAACCCCUUUCGAUCCGGACGAAUACCUCGCAAGAGGGGUGACGGUACGGAUAUAAGAAGCCCCGGCUAACUACGUGCCAGCAGCCGCGGUAAGACGUAGGGGGCCAGCGUUGUUCGGAAUUACUGGGUGUAAAGGGUUCGUAGGCGGUGUGGCAAGUUGGGAGUGAAAUCUCUGGGCUCAACCCAGAGACUGCUUCCAAAACUGCUGUGCUUGAGUGUGAGAGAGGCUCGUGGAAUUGCAGGUGUAGCGGUGAAAUGCGUAGAUAUCUGCAGGAACACCCGUGGCGAAAGCGGCGAGCUGGAUCACUACUGACGCUGAGGAACGAAAGCUAGGGGAGCAAACAGGAUUAGAUACCCUGGUAGUCCUAGCCCUAAACGAUCAGGGACUUGGGGUGCCACCCGGUUCGGGUGUCGUCCCGGAAGCUAACGCGUUAAGUCCUGCACCUGGGGAGUACGGUC